rnacentral:tRNA from 1 species
AGGCCAGUAGCUCUAAUGGCUAGAGCGCCGGUCUCCAAAACCGGAUGUUGUAGGUUCGAGUCCUACCUGGCCUGCGA